rnacentral:tRNA from 1 species
UCCUGGUAGGUCAGGUCGGUCCACUCGAAGCUCACGCCCUUGGGCAGCGUCUCGGCCGCGAUGCGCUUGAUCGCGUCCUGCGCCUGGCCC